CGGCGGACGGGGGAGUAACGCGUGGGUAACCUGCCUCAUACAGGGGGAUAACAGUUAGAAAUGGCUGCUAAUACCGCAUAAGACCACGGUACUGCAUGGUACAGUGGUAAAAACUCCGGUGGUAUGAGAUGGACCCGCGUCUGAUUAGGUAGUUGGUGAGGUAACGGCCCACCAAGCCGACGAUCAGUAGCCGACCUGAGAGGGUGACCGGCCACAUUGGGACUGAGACACGGUCCAG
rnacentral:rRNA from 1 species